UACGGAGGGUGCAAGCGUUGCUCGGAAUUAUUGGGCGUAAAGGGUAGGUAGGUGGUCUCAUUUGUCUGGGGUGAAAGCCUUGAGCUUAACUCAAGAAGUGCCCCAGAAACGGUGAGACUAGAGUCUUGGAGAGGGUCGUGGAAUUCCCGGUGUAGCGGUGAAAUACGUAGAGAUCGGGAGGAACACCAGAGGCGAAGGCGGCGACCUGGACAAGUACUGACACUCAACUACGAAAGCGUGGGGAGCAAACAGG
rnacentral:rRNA from 1 species